rnacentral:rRNA from 1 species
UUCGGGGUACUCGAGNGGNGAACGGGUGAGUAACACGUGGGUGAUCUGCCCUGCACUUUGGGAUAAGCCUGGGAAACUGGGUCUAAUACCGAAUAGGACCACGCGCUUCAUGGUGUGUGGUGGAAAGCUUUUGCGGUGUGGGAUGGGCCCGCGGCCUAUCAGCUUGUUGGUGGGGUAAUGGCCUACCAAGGCGACGACGGGUAGCCGGCCUGAGAGGGUGACCGGCCACACUGGGACUGAGAUACGGCCCAGACUCCUACGGGAGGCAGCAGUGGGGAAUAUUGCACAAUGGGCGCAAGCCUGAUGCAGCGACGCCGCGUGAGGGAUGACGGCCUUCGGGUUGUAAACCUCUUUCAAUAGGGACGAAGCGCAAGUGACGGUACCUAUAGAAGAAGCACCGGCCAACUACGUGCCAGCAGCCGCGGUAAUACGUAGGGUGCGAGCGUUGUCCGGAAUUACUGGGCGUAAAGAGCUCGUAGGUGGUUUGUCGCGUUGUUCGUGAAAACUCACAGCUUAACUGUGGGCGUGCGGGCGAUACGGGCAGACUAGAGUACUGCAGGGGAGACUGGAAUUCCUGGUGUAGCGGUGGAAUGCGCAGAUAUCAGGAGGAACACCGGUGGCGAAGGCGGGUCUCUGGGCAGUAACUGACGCUGAGGAGCGAAAGCGUGGGGAGCGAACAGGAUUAGAUACCCUGGUAGUCCACGCCGUAAACGGUGGGUACUAGGUGUGGGUUCCUUCCUUGGGAUCCGUGCCGUAGCUAACGCAUUAAGUACCCCGCCUGGGGAGUACGGCCGCAAGGCUAAAACUCAAAGGAAUUGACGGGGGCCCGCACAAGCGGCGGAGCAUGUGGAUUAAUUCGAUGCAACGCGAAGAACCUUACCUGGGUUUGACAUGCACAGGACGCCGGCAGAGAUGUCGGUUCCCUUGUGGCCUGUGUGCAGGUGGUGCAUGGCUGUCGUCAGCUCGUGUCGUGAGAUGUUGGGUUAAGUCCCGCAACGAGCGCAACCCUUGUCCUAUGUUGCCAGCGGGUUAUGCCGGGGACUCGUAGGAGACUGCCGGGGUCAACUCGGAGGAAGGUGGGGAUGACGUCAAGUCAUCAUGCCCCUUAUGUCCAGGGCUUCACACAUGCUACAAUGGCCGGUACAAAGGGCUGCGAUGCCGUGAGGUGGAGCGAAUCCUUUCAAAGCCGGUCUCAGUUCGGAUCGGGGUCUGCAACUCGACCCCGUGAAGUCGGAGUCGCUAGUAAUCGCAGAUCAGCAACGCUGCGGUGAAUACGUUCCCGGGCCUUGUACACACCGCCCGUCACGUCAUGAAAGUCGGUAACACCCGAAGCNGGNNGCCUAA